rnacentral:rRNA from 1 species
GAUGAACGCUGGCGGCGUGCCUAAUACAUGCAAGUCGAGCGAACGGACGAGAAGCUUGCUUCUCUGAUGUUAGCGGCGGACGGGUGAGUAACACGUGGAUAACCUACCUAUAAGACUGGGAUAACUUCGGGAAACCGGAGCUAAUACCGGAUAAUAUUUUGAACCGCAUGGUUCAAAAGUGAAAGACGGUCUUGCUGUCACUUAUAGAUGGAUCCGCGCUGCAUUAGCUAGUUGGUAAGGUAACGGCUUACCAAGGCAACGAUGCAUAGCCGACCUGAGAGGGUGAUCGGCCACACUGGAACUGAGACACGGUCCAGACUCAUACGGGAGGCAGCAGUAGGGAAUCUUCAGCAAUGGGCGAAAGACUGACGGAGCAACGCCGCGUGAGUGAUGAAGGUAUUCGGAUCGUAAAACUCUGUUAUUAGGGAAGAACAUAUGUGUAAGUAACUGUGCAAAUCUUGACGGUACCUAAUCAGAAAGCCACGGCUAACUACGUG